CACCAGCCUGUAAACAUAACUAAAGCUACUAAUUGUCUUCUCUGUCCAAUUGGGUGUUCGAAUGUGCUCCGAUUCGAAAGAAAACCAUGGUCGUUGCAACGUUUCCCACAGUUGGUCCAAGGCAGGGAGAGAGAAACCGAAACCCUAAAAAUCGAAUCAGCGACGCAUAUUCUUGGGCGAGGUUUCGGUUCGAAUAAAGCUUGUUCCCC
rnacentral:lncRNA from 1 species